AGAUUCUGAGCUAACACUGGCCACAAUCACAUCAUAACACAAUCAAUGUUAUAAGACAAGAACUUUUAUCACAAAACAUGACUCCAGAAGCACUGCAAAAAACUUCUAUACAAAGAAGAUAAGUGAAUGGGCAUACACCUGAGAAACCCCAGCGAGUGGGCCAAAGGCCAUUAGCCCCAUCAAGGUUAGUGGAAAGCUUCUACCACAUGGGGGCGCUCCCAUCCUGCUUCCCUCGGCCAUUACUCCACCCACUAAGAGGUUGGCUGCUCCUAGAGGAUUGGUCAGGUCUAAGAACAUGGCUGAGGCUUCUGUGCUUGGGCAUAGAGCUGUCUCCGCAAUGAAAACAAGGUUAAAAGUGGUUCCUGGUGAAGAAUUUCUUUUUAGCUCAUUUGGGAUCGAACUCAGGACCUUGCACUUUUGAGGCAGGCGCUGAAACCACUGAGCUAAAUCCUUGGCACCAGAAAGUUUUACUCUUACACACCUUUCAGGAUUAAGCUGAAACAUUAUCUGCUCCAUGAUGCCUUCCCCAAAUCUAAUUGCGACAUGCAUAAUAAAUGAGGCAAUAGUUCGACCUAGAUGUUCACGAGCAAGCACAUCCCGGGUAGCUGUCCUCUACGAGUUCGUUUCCACCUUGUUUCUUCAUUUUUCUUUCUGUCUUUUAUUUCAAAGUAUCUUUCCACUAUGAAUGUAAUGGUUAUGUACUACAAACAUGUAUUAAUAAAAAAGUUUAGUUUUUACACUUAGAUUUAUGAUGUCUCAAUUUUUGCGCUUAUUGUGAGGAGGAGUCAUGGUUUAUUUUUCCCUCCUUUCCCUUUCCAUAUGUAGUCAGUUAUUCCAGCACUACAUGUCGGGAAGAUUUUUCUUUCCUCAGUGGAGUGUUUUGGAAACUUUGCCAAACAUUAAUUGACCAUGAAUGUGUAAGUCUAUUUCUGUACUGUGUUCCACUGAUGUAUGUAACUAUUCUUUGCCAGUACCACACAUUGUUGUUAUGGUAGCUUUAAAGUAAGUUUUGAAA
ensembl:lncRNA